UACGGGGGGGGUAAGCGUUGUUCGGAAUUACUGAGCGUAAAGGGCUCGUAGGCGGCCAACUAAGUCGGACGUGAAAUCCCUCAGCUUAACUGGGAAACUGCGUCCGAUACUGGAUGGCUUGGAUUUGGGAGAGGAAUGCGGAAUUCCAGGUGUAGCGGUGAAAUGCGUAGAUAUCUGGAGGAACACCGGUGGCGAAGGCGGCAUUCUGGACCAAUAUUGACGCUGAGGAGCGAAAGCCAGGGGAGCAAACGGG
rnacentral:rRNA from 1 species